rnacentral:rRNA from 1 species
GACGAACGCUGGCGGCGUGCUUAACACAUGCAAGUCGAACGGUGAAGCGCCUUCCUUUUUGGUGGGUGUGGAUGAGUGGCGAACGGGUGAGUAACACGUGAGUAACCUGCCCCCUUCUUCUGGAUAACCGCAUGAAAGUGUGGCUAAUACGGGAUAUUCUGGGUCUGUCGCAUGAUGGGUCUGGGAAAGAUAUUGUUUCGGUGGGGGAUGGGCUCGCGGCCUAUCAGCUUGUUGGUGGGGUGAUGGCCUACCAAGGCGGUGACGGGUAGCCGGCCUGAGAGGGUUGACGGUCACACUUGGACUGAGACACGGCCCAGACUCCUACGGGAGGCAGCAGUGGGGAAUAUUGCACAAUGGGCGCAAGCCUGAUGCAGCGACGCCGCGUGAGGGAUGGAGGCCUUCGGGUUGUGAACCUCUUUCGCCAGUGAAGCAGGCCUGCCUCGUUUGUGGGUGGGUUGACGGUAGCUGGAUAAGAAGCGCCGGCUAACUACGUG